rnacentral:misc_RNA from 1 species
CGCACAUUGCGCCCCUUGGUAUUCCGGGGGGCAUGCCUGUUCGAGCGUCAUUUCAACCCUCAAGCUCUGCUUGGUCUUGGACCUGUGCCAGCGAUGGCAGGUUCUAAAAUCAGUGGCGGUGCCGUUGGGUCCUGAGCGUAGUAAUACUUCUCGCUACGGGAGUCCCGCGUGCGUCUGGCCAUAACCCCAAUUUUUUCAGGUUGACCUCGGAUCAGGUAGGGAUACCCGCUGAACUUAA